rnacentral:rRNA from 1 species
AGUGAACGCUGGCGGUAGGCCUAACACAUGCAAGUCGAACGGCAGCACAGUAAGAGCUUGCUCUUACGGGUGGCGAGUGGCGGACGGGUGAGGAAUACAUCGGCAUCUACUUUUUCGUGGGGGAUAACGUAGGGAAACUUACGCUAAUACCGCAUACGACCUACGGGUGAAAGCAGGGGAUCUUCGGACCUUGCGCGAUUGAAUGAGCCGAUGUCGGAUUAGCUAGUUGGCGGGGUAAAGACCCACCAAGGCGACGAUCCGUAGCUGGUCUGAGAGGAUGAUCAGCCACACUGGAACUGAGACACGGUCCAGACUCCUACGGGAGGCAGCAGUGGGGAAUAUUGGACAAUGGGCGCAAGCCUGAUCCAGCCAUACCGCGUGGGUGAAGAAGGCCUUCGGGUUGUAAAGCCCUUUUGUUGGGAAAGAAAAGCAGCAGGUUAAUACCCCGCUGUUCUGACGGUACCCAAAGAAUAAGCACCGGCUAACUUCGUG